GGGAUAUUGGUCAAUGGGCGCAAGCCUGAACCAGCGACGCCGCGUGGGUGAAGAAGGUCUUCGGAUCGUAAAGCCCUUUUCCCACUGAAGAGGAAGGACGGUCGGUGGGGAAGAAGUCUCGGCUAACUACGUGCCAGCAGCCGCGGUAAAACGUAGGAGACAAGCGUUAUCCGGAGUUACUGGGCGUAAAGGGCGUGCAGGUGGCGUCUUAAGUCUGUUGUGAAAGCGCCGGGCUUAACCGGGCGAGGCCAAUGGAGACUGAGAGGCUGGAGGACGGCUGAGGGGUGUGGAAUUCCGGGUGUAGUGGUGAAAUGCGUAGAGAUCCGGAGGAACACCAGAGGCGAAGGCGGCACUCUAAGCCGUACCUGACACUGAGACGCGACAGCACGGGGAGCAAACG
rnacentral:rRNA from 1 species